rnacentral:rRNA from 1 species
GAUGAACGCUGGCGGCGUGCUUAACACAUGCAAGUCGAACGGUGAACGAGGGAGCUUGCUCCCUCCGGAUCAGUGGCGAACGGGUGAGUAACACGUGAGCAAUCUGCCCCGAACUCUGGGAUAAGCGCUGGAAACGGCGUCUAAUACCGGAUACGACACGCGAAGGCAUCUUCUGCGCGUGGAAAGAAUUUCGGUUCGGGAUGAGCUCGCGGCCUAUCAGCUAGUUGGUGAGGUAACGGCUCACCAAGGCGACGACGGGUAGCCGGCCUGAGAGGGUGACCGGCCACACUGGGACUGAGACACGGCCCAGACUCCUACGGGAGGCAGCAGUGGGGAAUAUUGCGCAAUGGGCGAAAGCCUGACGCAGCGACGCAGCGUGAGGGACGACGGCCUUCGGGUUGUAAACCUCUUUCAGCGGGGACGAAGCGAAAGUGACGGUACCCGCAGAAGAAGCACCGGCUAACUACGUGCCAGCCGCCGCCGUAACAC